rnacentral:rRNA from 1 species
UACAGAGGGUGCAAGCGUUAAUCGGAAUUACUGGGCGUAAAGCGCGCGUAGGUGGUUCGUUAAGUUGGAUGUGAAAUCCCCGGGCUCAACCUGGGAACUGCAUUCAAAACUGUCGAGCUAGAGUAUGGUAGAGGGUGGUGGAAUUUCCUGUGUAGCGGUGAAAUGCGUAGAUAUAGGAAGGAACACCAGUGGCGAAGGCGACCGACCUGGACUGAUACUGACACUGAGGUGCGAAGCGUGGGGAGCAAACAGG